UGCAAUGUCUUAAUCAAAUGCCUAGUGGCAUGAUCAAAGCCGAUGAUCGUAAGCUAUGUCCUCCAUCACGAUCUCGAAUGAAACUAUCCAUGGAAUCGUGCGCCGUGUGAAACGUAUAUCAUCGCCGUUCUUAACCGAGACUCAGGUUAAGCUCCGUCUCGGAACCUUGUGGGGUUAGGAGUAAAGCAUCCCGAGGUUGGCGCAUCUCGUUGAGCGUGGAGAAGCAUUGGGAACCCCAAUUUUUUUCUUCGGAGCCGUUUCUUUUUCCGUCCGCCAAGACUCAGGUUAAGCUCCGUCUCGAAACCUUGUGGGGUUAGGAGUAAAGCAUCCCGAGGUUGGCGCAUCUCGUUGAGUGUGGAG
rnacentral:lncRNA from 1 species